rnacentral:lncRNA from 1 species
CACUGAGCCUGUCCUCUCUGGAUAGUCAGGUCUGCCUGUGUCCAGUGUCUGUGGCCGGGCUGUGGUCACUGAGCCUGUUCUCUCUGGAUAGUCAGAUCUGCCUGUGUCCAGUGUCUGUGGCCAGGCUGUGGUCACUGAGCCUGUCCUCUCUGGAUAGUCAGAUCUGCCUGUGUCCAGUGUCUGUGGUCAGGCUGUGGUCACUGAGCUUGUGUUUCGUCAGGGUCUGUUUCUCCUUGUUGUCUCUCACUACUCCCCAAGUACUAUUUCCCUUCAGAGGGCUGAGUUGCAGUUCCUGUCUCUGGCCACAAGGCUGCAGUGUUUACAUUAAUCUUCACUUAAUGCAGUUGUGUGAGUGCGGCAUGUAAUUAUCACGCAUCAAGGCACACCAAGAAACCAAAAGAGAGAAGAAAUGUCUGUAGGGAAGGUGAGACCAAUGCAAGAUAAAGCUCAAUCCACAUAAAAGAGAAAGGAACAAAUGGCUGUUCUUAUGCUCUUCUCAGUAAUAUAGCAUCCAAAGACUCUUUCACUCACCGGGUUGUGGGGUUGUGGAUCAGGCUACCCAGUCGUGAUAUUGGCUUCUUCCAAAAACUGCUGGCUGAGAUCUUCAGGUCAGUGAGCUACUAACUACCAGACGCCGAGACGGGCCAAACGGUCAGCUCUCGACUGUUCGUCUCGUGUUCUUCUGUGAGCUCUGUCCACUCACCCCUCAGAGUGACACUGACAGUCUGUCUCGAUGGCCCCCUUCCCCCUGCCCCUCUGUCUGCUUCUGCACGACCCUCCUCGCCCCCCGCCCCUUCUCUCUCUCUUCCUGCAGAGCCCCGGUCCAUCGAUGCCGGCAUCUCCAUUCAGACCGAGGUUGCUUGUGCCCCCAUAACAGGUAUGAACGGGAAGAGCAUCCUCAGCGCCAUAGGACGCCACACGCCCGACCAGGGCACGGUAAUGGCAUCUGCUUCCGGGGCGACGACCUCCCCCUCCUCUUCCCGCUCCUCGUCCCAGCGCUCGGGGGCAGGCGGCAGUACCCCCGGUGGCCAGCAGAGGUCGCCCUGCUCUCAGCAGAAGCCAGUGGGGGGGGGCCUGGGGGCCGCUCUCAGUGCUCUGGCCCCCGCCAAGACCCCCUCGGCUCCCCUCCUUGCGCCGCAGUCCCCAGUGUAAAGCUCACAGCGCAGUCACCUCUCCACGCUGAGCCUGCAUGGUGUGUCUCGGUGCAGGAGGGGCAGCUGGACAGCCUAGCUCCUCUGUGCCACUCAGGCACGCUCACCGAGUCCUCGGUGUGGGAUCCUUGAGAGCUUCCGCGCGCGGCCGAGCACCGCCAGCGCCCGCGCUCUGGGAAUGUCGC